rnacentral:rRNA from 1 species
UACGAAGGGGGCUAGCGUUGCUCGGAAUCACUGGGCGUAAAGCGCACGUAGGCGGACUCUUAAGUCGGUGGUGAAAUCCUGGAGCUCAACUCCAGAACUGCCUUUGAUACUGAGGAUCUUGAGUUCGGGAGAGGUGAGUGGAACUGCGAGUGUAGAGGUGAAAUUCGUAGAUAUUCGCAAGAACACCAGUGGCGAAGGCGGCUCACUGGCCCGAUACUGACACUGAGACGCGAAAAGCGUGGGGGAGCGAACAGG